rnacentral:rRNA from 1 species
UACGGAGGGUGCAAACGUUGCUCGGAAUCAUUGGGCGUAAAGCGCACGUAGGAGGCCUGUUAAGUCGGGGGUGAAAGCCCGGGGCUCAACCUCGGAAUUGCCUUCGAUACUGGAUAUCUUGAGUUCGGGAGAGGUGAGUGGAAUGCCGAGUGUAGAGGUGAAAUUCGUAGAUAUUCGGCGGAACACCAGUGGCGAAGGCGACUCACUGGCCCGAUACUGACGCUGAGGCGCGAAAGCGUGGGGAGCAAACAGG